rnacentral:lncRNA from 1 species
UUGAUUUUGAAGUCAUCAGCCUUUGUACUCUGCCUCUAGCUUCCUAUGAACCAAGACAGGGUCUUGCUCGGUCACCUAGGCUGAAGUGCAGUGGCACAGUCACAGUUCACUAUAACCUUGAACUCCGGGCUCAAAUAGUCUUCCUGCCUUGGCUUUCCAGAGGGUUUGGAUUACAGGCUCCGUACCUGAAAAGGUACAACAAGGAGGGAUGAAGAAAGAUCACUGACCAGAAAUAAAAUUGGGAGUUUAGACAAUUAAAUUAUCUGGACAUUUUAAUUCCUGAACUACGACUAGGCUACAACAUGCGGACUGCUGUAGAUGUCACCCAGGAACAGAAAAUAACUAGCCUCGUGAGAAAGUUUUGAAUGGGCAAAAGGGAAAUUGAAUACAAUUGUUUUUUGCUUGCACCAUAUAGAGGCGUAUUCUUUCUAUGUACAGUGAUAGGAAACUGGUGGUGUUUGACAUCAUCCAAAAACAGGGCCCAUUUUUUGAAUCAUAAAUUAUCUUCAUGAACACACCCAUUGCCUUCAACAUACAGCCUAAGUCUCAUACUUUCUAAAAUAUCUCCGGUACCUGCUCCAGUUCUCAGUGAUCACCAAUUCCUUUGUCCUCCAAUAACAUAAAUUUCUUUUCUACCUUGUACUUAGAAUUCUGUUCAAACUAUCUUGUUGUAUUCAAAAUAAUUUUAACGAGCUAUAGUUGACAUAACAUAUUUAGUUAUCUAUCUAUGUAUCUGUCAUCUAUCAAUCAUCUGAUGAGAAUUUAUCAUUACACUCAAGAUAAUGAGCUCAGACAUGAUUCCCAAAUAUUUUCUCAUCAGGCUUUGUAAUUCUUCCCUCUCAACACUCCCCAGCAUCCCCCAAACCCAAUAAACCACUAAUCUGCUUUCAGUCACUAUAGAUUCAUUUAUAUUUUCUGAAAUUUUAUAUACAAUGGAAUCAUUCACUAUGAACUCUUUUUCAUCUGACGUCUUAUAUUCAGCAUAAUUAUUUUCAUAUGUUUCCGUGUUGCAGAGUAUAAUUUCGUUACAUAGAUAUUCUAUCUUAUUUAUCAAUUUACAUUUUUGUAAAGAUUGUGAAAUAAAAAUAAAAUCCUAAGCCCUGCAACUGACUGAGCAGACACCUGUUGCCCAAGAAGACUCCAGAAAAACUUUGAAAAAUUGAGUUUCCUGGUCAUGACAAGGUGGGAGGUUGAGUACCUCUUGGUGUACCUCAUUCCUUGCCAAUCUUUACUAGAUUAUUUUCUAAGGGUUAAACAGAAACUGGCCCUGGAAAAAUAAAGAAAUGAAAACUCACUCCUUUGCUGAUUUCAGCCAACUGCUGGACACUGCAGCUGGAAUCCUCUCCCUUCUUGUAGUUUCUACACAGCAGCUCACCAGUUUCAUAGCACAUUCCUUUCUGAUUUUUUACUACCAGCCAUGGACUGGUUCUGGCCAGAUACAGAGGCUGCCCACAAGAUGUCUGUCAUCUUUUAAUGUAUACAGCCUAAUUUUAAUACAUUUAAAUGUUAAUUCUCCAUCCUAAAGUGAACAUGUGACAUAUGUAAUAUGUAUGUUUGCUUACUAGCAUAUGUGUGUCCCUUGUGAAUAUUCAUAACUCUUUUUAUAACUUGUUGAUAUGUAUACUUAGCCAUCCUGUCCAGUAUAAAUUCCUGUCUCAUCCUUCUUCCAUUGAAGUACCUGCUUUUGAUUUCUGCUGGAGGCUAUGCUUCCCAGUCUGCAGGGUGGCCAGCCUGCAGGCGGAAACCCUUUAUAAGAAACAAAGCUCUCCUCUCCAAAUAUAUGGAUCUCAUGAUUUCAAGUCUACAAGACUUAAGUUGUUUUCUUUUCUUUUUUUUUUUUUUUUUUUUUUUUGAGAUGGAGUUUCACUCUUGUGGCCCAGGCUAAAGUGCAAUGGCACGAUCUCAGCUCACUGAAACCUCUGUCUCCUAGGUUCAAGCGAUUCUCCUGCCUUGGCCUCCCAAGUAGUGGAAAUUACAGGCACCUGCCACCAUGCCUAGCUAAUUUUUGAAUUUUUAGUAGAGACGGAGUUUCGCCAUGUUGGCCAGGCUGAUCUCGAGCCCCUGACCUCAGGUGAUUCACCUGCCUCAGCCUACCAAACUGCUGGGAUUACAGGCAUGAGCCAAGGCACCCAGACAGUUUUCAAACUACUGUUAUAAAUAAAGGUGCUGUAAACAUUGGUGUACAAUCUUUAUCUGAACAUCUGUUUUUAUUUCUCAUGAAUAAAUGCCUAGAUGUUAAACGGCAGGAUUAUAAGGUAAUUAUAUGUUAAACUUUCUAAGAAAUUUCUGAACAGUUUUUUCAAUUGCCUGUACAAUUUUUACAUUUCUACCAGUAGUGUAUGAGAAUUUCAGUUGUUUAACUCUCUUACCAAUACUUGUUAUCUAAUUUAACUAUUAUCUGAAUUAUUGUUAUUAUCCAAAUGAAAUUUACUGAUUCUAGUGAGUAGUAAUAUCUCACUGUAGUGUUAAUUUGAAUUUACUUACUCAUGAUGUUGCACAUCUUUUCAUAUGCUGAUUUGCCAUAAAUUGCUGGAUUACAGCUAAUAAAAAUAAACAAAAUGAAAUCAUAAAAAUACUAAAUUAGCCCUAAAGAAAAAAAAAAAGAAAGGAAAGAGGAAGAAGAAAAAAAAAUGGGACAAAUAGAAAACAAUGGGUAAGGAGACAGUAUUAAUUAAUAAUAUCAAUAACCACAUUACAUAUAAAUAGUCUAAAUACUCAAAAGGCAGAUAUUGCUAGAUAAAGUAGCAAGAAUUGCUUAUCACUGCCUUAAAAAACCUAAUUUGAGUAUAUAGAUAGCAAUGGGGUAGAAAUAACUGAAUGGGAAAAUAUAUACUAAUAUUAAUGAAAAAAUGCUAAAAUGACUACAGUAAUUUUAGACAGAGUGGGUUUCAGAGAUAAAAAAUAUUCAAAGGAGCCACUGAAAACUAUUUAACUUCCAUCUAUAAUGUUUAUUUUUUCUAGUGUUGCUUUAUGCUAAAAGAACAUUUUAAUUUAUUGCACUUGACUUGUUAA